UAAGGAAUAUUGCGCAAUGGGGGAAACCCUGACGCAGCAACGCCGCGUGGAGGAUGACACUUUUCGGAGCUUAAACUCCUUUUAUCAGGAAAGAAUAAUGACGGUACCUGAUGAAUAAGCACCGGCUAACUCCGUGCCAGCAGCCGCGGUAAUACGGGGGGUGCAAGCGUUACUCGGAAUCACUGGGCGUAAAGGACGCGUAGGCGGAUUAUCAAGUCUUUUGUGAAAUCUAGUGGCUUAACCACUAAACUGCUUAGGAAACUGAUAGUCUAGAGUAGGGGAGAGGUAGAUGGAAUUCUUGGUGUAGGGGUAAAAUCCGUAGAGAUCAAGAAGAAUACCCAUUGCGAAAGCGAUCUGCUGGAACCUAACUGACGCUGAGGCGUGAAAGCGUGGGUAGCAAACAGG
rnacentral:rRNA from 1 species